GCUGCCCAUGCCUACUCAGCCCCCUUCUGCCCAGCUAUCCAGCUCAUCGAGCCGCCACAAGCUGCCGCCUCCCAUCUUCCCUUCCCUCGCGGCUGCAAAUCGAUCACCGACGAGCUUCUUAACCACUUAAAGUAUCAGACCGGUCAUAGAAGGGCUGGUCCACCCUGGACCAAGCAGGGUUUAUUCCAGGCGGGGUAAGCAUGGUAGAUAGGGGAGAGUUUUGCCCCUUUGAAGUGGCCCAGGGAGCAGAUUUUGAAAUUGUAGGGUGCGGCUAGGAGGAAAAACAAAGGGCUGUUUUGGGAUUUUGUUAUUGUAUGCUUCAAGUAUAUUUUCUCCCUAGUGUUCAUUUUUUUUUCUUAGGCACGUGUUUGCUGAAUUAGGGUUUCUUAGGUUGUGAGGUCUCUAGCCGGAGGCUAGGGAUUUGGGAGAGCAGGAUCUUCCUCUCCAAUUGAAGAUCCAAUUGUAUCUUGUUGUUUUCUUUCGUAUUUCUUACAAUAAAAGAAUUCGUGGUGUGUUUUUCUCUCCAAA